rnacentral:rRNA from 1 species
GAAAGGAUUUAUUCGGUAAAAGAUGGGCCCGCAUCUGAUUAGCUAGUUGGUGAGAUAAUAGCCCACCAAGGCAACGAUCAGUAGCCGACCUGAGAGGGUGACCGGCCACAUUGGGACUGAGACACGGCCCAAACUCCUACGGGAGGCAGCAGUGGGGAAUAUUGCACAAUGGGGGAAACCCUGAUGCAGCAACGCCGCGUGAAGGAAGACGGUUUUCGGAUUGUAAACUUCUAUCGAUAGGGAAGAAAGGAAUGACGGUACCUAAAUAAGAAGCCCCGGCUAACUACGUGCCAGCAGCCGCGGUAAUACGUAGGGGGCAAGCGUUAUCCGGAAUUACUGGGUGUAAAGGGAGAGUAGGCGGCAAGGUAAGCGAUAUGUGAAAGCCUUAGGCUUAACCUGAGGAUAGCAUAACGAACUAUCUAGCUAGAGUACAGGAGAGGAAAGCGGAAUUCUUAGUGUAGCGGUGAAAUGCGUAGAUAUUAGGAAGAACACCAGUGGCGAAGGCGGCUUUCUGGACUGAAACUGACGCUGAGGCUCGAAAGCGUGGGGAGCGAACAGGAUUAGAUACCCUGGUAGUCCACGCUGUAAACGAUGAGUGCUAGGUGUCGGGGAGGAAUCCUCG